CUGUGCAAACAUCAGUUGAAAAAAUAUUUUCCAACCGCUAAGUGUUCCAGUUUUCUGUGUGCUCUGAAUAUCAAGAAAUAGUGAAAAAAGCAAUUCGUUCCAUUCACUGUAUUCUGACCAAGUGGUUGUGACAAAGUUGUGGUAAUAUCUGCAAGCUUACGGCUUUAUUUUUCACGCGGAAUUAUCAUCAAAUAUAACAUAAAAAAAAGGUGUCGUUGAUUAGUGACUAAACGCGGCUUUUACGUAUAAAACUUAAAACUUUACACACAAAAAAAAAAACACAGAUACCUAGAGUGUAUUAGUGUGCUGACUAUUACCUGAUAAGCCAAAUACACUCGGGCUUCGUGGAGCGCAACUCCGGAGUAUCUUCUAAAGCGCUAUCUUCCUUGUUGUCGUUACACAUAGCUGGAGAGUACGUUAGAGUUUUGGUAUCGCAUUUUUCGGCGAAGUAACGAAAGACGUACAGACCGAAGUGAAAAGUAAAGCAACAAUAGUACUGAC